GGGUUGUGAGGUUAAGCGACUAAGCGUACACGGUGGAUGCCCUGGCAGUCAGAGGCGAUGAAGGACGUGCUAAUCUGCGAAAAGCGUCGGUAAGGUGAUAUGAACCGUUAUAACCGGCGAUGUCCGAAUGGGGAAACCCAGUGCAAUUCGUUGCACUAUCGUUAACUGAAUACAUAGGUUAACGAGGCGAACCGGGGGAACUGAAACAUCUAAGUACCCCGAGGAAAAGAAAUCAACCGAGAUUCCCCCAGUAGCGGCGAGCGAACGGGGAGCAGCCCGGAGUCUGAAUCAGCUUGUGUGUUAGUGGAAGCGUCUGGAAAGUCGCAGGGUACAGGGUGAUACUCCCGUACACUAAAACACACAGGUUGUGAACUCGAAGAGUAGGGCGGGACACGUGGUAUCCUGUCUGAAUAUGGGGGGACCAUCCUCCAAGGCUAAAUACUCCUGACUGACCGAUAGUGAACCAGUACCGUGAGGGAAAGGCGAAAAGAACCCCGGCGAGGGGAGUGAAAAAGAACCUGAAACCGUGUACGUACAAGCAGUAGGAGCCCACUAGUUGGGUGACUGCGUACCUUUUGUAUAAUGGGUCAGCGACUUAUAUUCUGUAGCAAGGUUAACCGUAUAGGGGAGCCGCAGGGAAACCGAGUCUUAACUGGGCGUUAAGUUGCAGGGUAUAGACCCGAAACCCGGUGAUCUAGCCAUGGGCAGGUUGAAGGUUGGGUAACACUAACUGGAGGACCGAACCGACUAAUGUUGAAAAAUUAGCGGAUGACUUGUGGCUGGGGGUGAAAGGCCAAUCAAACCGGGAGAUAGCUGGUUCUCCCCGAAAGCUAUUUAGGUAGCGCCUCGUGAACUCAUCUUCGGGGGUAGAGCACUGUUUCGGCUAGGGGGUCAUCCCGACUUACCAACCCGAUGCAAACUACGAAUACCGAAGAAUGUUAUCACGGGAGACACACGGCGGGUGCUAACGUCCGUCGUGAAGAGGGAAACAACCCAGACCGCCAGCUAAGGUCCCAAAGUCAUGGUUAAGUGGGAAACGAUGUGGGAAGGCCCAGACAGCCAGGAUGUUGGCUUAGAAGCAGCCAUCAUUUAAAGAAAGCGUAAUAGCUCACUGGUCGAGUCGGCCUGCGCGGAAGAUGUAACGGGGCUAAACCAUGCACCGAAGCUGCGGCAGCGACACUAUGUGUUGUUGGGUAGGGGAGCGUUCUGUAAGCCGUUGAAGGUGGCCUGUGAGGGUUGCUGGAGGUAUCAGAAGUGCGAAUGCUGACAUAAGUAACGAUAAUGCGGGUGAAAAACCCGCACGCCGGAAGACCAAGGGUUCCUGUCCAACGUUAAUCGGGGCAGGGUGAGUCGACCCCUAAGGCGAGGCCGAAAGGCGUAGUCGAUGGGAAACAGGUUAAUAUUCCUGUACUUGGUGUUACUGCGAAGGGGGGACGGAGAAGGCUAUGUUGGCCGGGCGACGGUUGUCCCGGUUUAAGCAUGUAGGCGGAUGUUCCAGGUAAAUCCGGAACGUCACUAACGCUGAGGUGUGAUGACGAGGCACUACGGUGCUGAAGUGACAAAUGCCCUGCUUCCAGGAAAAGCCUCUAAGCAUCAGGUAACAUCAAAUCGUACCCCAAACCGACACAGGUGGUCAGGUAGAGAAUACCAAGGCGCUUGAGAGAACUCGGGUGAAGGAACUAGGCAAAAUGGUGCCGUAACUUCGGGAGAAGGCACGCUGAUGGUAAGUGAAGUGACUUGCUCAUGGAGCUGAAAUCAGUCGAAGAUACCAGCUGGCUGCAACUGUUUAUUAAAAACACAGCACUGUGCAAACACGAAAGUGGACGUAUACGGUGUGACGCCUGCCCGGUGCCGGAAGGUUAAUUGAUGGGGUUAUCCUCGCGGAGAAGCUCUUGAUCGAAGCCCCGGUAAACGGCGGCCGUAACUAUAACGGUCCUAAGGUAGCGAAAUUCCUUGUCGGGUAAGUUCCGACCUGCACGAAUGGCGUAAUGAUGGCCAGGCUGUCUCCACCCGAGACUCAGUGAAAUUGAACUCGCUGUGAAGAUGCAGUGUACCCGCGGCAAGACGGAAAGACCCCGUGAACCUUUACUAUAGCUUGACACUGAACACUGGUCCUUGAUGUGUAGGAUAGGUGGGAGGCUUUGAAGUGUGGACGCCAGUCUGCAUGGAGCCGUCCUUGAAAUACCACCCUUUAAUGGCUGGUGUUCUAACGUGGGCCCCUAAUCGGGGUUGCGGACAGUGUCUGGUGGGUAGUUUGACUGGGGCGGUCUCCUCCUAAAGAGUAACGGAGGAGCACGAAGGUCAGCUAAUCCUGGUCGGACAUCAGGAGGUUAGUGCAAUGGCAUAAGCUGGCUUGACUGCGAGCGUGACGGCGCGAGCAGGUGCGAAAGCAGGUCAUAGUGAUCCGGUGGUUCUGAAUGGAAGGGCCAUCGCUCAACGGAUAAAAGGUACUCCGGGGAUAACAGGCUGAUACCGCCCAAGAGUUCAUAUCGACGGCGGUGUUUGGCACCUCGAUGUCGGCUCAUCACAUCCUGGGGCUGAAGUAGGUCCCAAGGGUAUGGCUGUUCGCCAUUUAAAGUGGUACGCGAGCUGGGUUUAGAACGUCGUGAGACAGUUCGGUCCCUAUCUGCCGUGGGCGCUGGAGAAUUGAGGGGGGCUGCUCCUAGUACGAGAGGACCGGAGUGGACGCAUCACUGGUGUUCGGGUUGUCAUGCCAAUGGCAUUGCCCGGUAGCUAAAUGCGGAAGAGAUAAGUGCUGAAAGCAUCUAAGCACGAAACUUGCCCCGAGAUGAGUUCUCCCUGACCCUUUAAGGGUCCUGAAGGAACGUUGAAGACGACGACGUUGAUAGGCCGGGUGUGUAAGCGCAGCGAUGCGUUGAGCUAACCGGUACUAAUGAACCGUGAGGCUUAACCUUACAACGCCGAAG
rnacentral:rRNA from 1 species